GAUGAACGCUGGCGGCGUGCCUAAUACAUGCAAGUCGAGCGGUAAGGUUUCCACUCUGUAUUUAACGAGUUUGAAUAUAGGGUGGAAAUACACGAGCGGCGGACGGCUGAGUAACACGUAGGAACGUACCCAAACUGAGGGAUAAGCACCGGAAACGGUGUCUAAUACCGCAUGUGCUCUUCGGAGUAAAAGCUACGGCGGUUUGGGAACGGCCUGCGCAUGAUUAGCUUGUUGGUGAGGUAAUAGCCCACCAAGGCGACGAUCAUUAGCUGGUCUGAGAGGAUGAUCAGCCAGACUGGGACUGAGAACGGCCCAGACUCCUACGGGAGGCAGCAGUAGGGAAUUCUCCAACAAUGGGCGAAAGCCUGAUGAGCAACGCCGCGUGCAGGACG
rnacentral:rRNA from 1 species